rnacentral:sRNA from 1 species
ACACACAUAUCUACAUACACACAGAGGUGAGGUCUUGCCUGUAUUGCCCAGGCUGGUCUCGAACUCCUGGGCUCAAGUGGUCUUCCCACCUCGACCCCCCAAAAUGCUGGGAUUACAGGGGUGAGCCACCGCACCGGGCCGAAUCCUUCUCUUGACAUGUCACCUCCCGCCAAAGGCAGUUGUCCUUUCUGACUUCAAACACCAUGCCUUUGUUUUGUCUGGGUAUGGACGUGAUAUAAAUGGACUCAUUCAUGUUCUUUUGUGUCUUCUUUUGCUUAACAUAAUCAGUUUGAAAUGCAGCCACAUUGUUGAGUGGAUGCAUGGGCUGUCCUGUUGGCGGUGGUGGUGGUGAGUGGAAUUCCAUUGUAUGACUAUAGCUCAGUCUGUGAUUCCAUUCUCCUGUGGAUGGACCCACAGGCUGUUUCCCAUGUCGGGCUAUGUAAGAAUCAGGUGCCUUGCGUUUCUGACGGCUGGACUGGAGGUGUCUUCCUCCGGGGGAGGCUCUGCAGGACCACCUGCUGGACCAUUUUGGGGCAUGGCCACUGACGUUCACCUCCCCAUUUGUCCCCAUCAGCGAGCCCCAUGCCCGUUUCUACGCGGCCCAGAUCGUCCUGACCUUUGAGUAUCUGCACUCGCUGGAUCUCAUCUACAGAGACCUGAAACCGGAGAAUCUGCUGAUUGACCAGCAGGGCUACAUUCAGGUGCCCACCAGGCCGGGCGAGGGGCAUCCCUGGGGAAACCAUGGCCUGGACCCUCCCUCCCUGCCAACUGCCUGUUCUUGUGCCCACAGGUGACAGACUUCGGUUUCGCCAAGCGCGUGAAGGGCCGCACUUGGACCUUGUGUGGCACCCCUGAGUACCUGGCCCCUGAGAUUAUCCUGAGCAAAGUAGGAGCCUCCCCAGCCCUCCCCUUCCCCUGAGGCCGGCUCUGCUCUCCUGCUCUCGCCCCCUCCUCACCCUGUGCCCCCCCAUCUUGCUCCAGGGCUACAACAAGGCCGUGGACUGGUGGGCCCUGGGGGUUCUUAUCUAUGAAAUGGCCGCUGGCUACCCGCCCUUCUUCGCAGACCAGCCCAUCCAGAUCUAUGAGAAGAUCGUCUCUGGGAAGGUGAGGUCCGGAUGUGGGGACACAGCCCUGGAAGAAAGAGACCCUUCCCUGCUCACCCAUCCUACUCCCUGGGGAGCCCUGCUUGUUGUCAGAAUAAUCUAGAAGUUCCUUAAGUUAGGCCAGGUGGUGAAGCUGGACGCACCAGCCACACUGAGGCCAACACCUCAAGCCCCCUCGCUGUCCAGCCCCAACCCCGCGGUUCCAGAAUCCCACGGGCUUCCAAAAUCCCGAGCCUCACGGGAACUUCUUGGCCACAGAACACAAACCGUCCUGCCAGACGACCCUCCUUGUCGCUCCUCGUCCCAGUUAGUGUGAGUUUUCGCAAAUUCCAAGGCAGGAAAAUGAAUGUAUUUGGUUCCUGUUCCCAGGUGCUGUCCACAGCCUCACCCAGGAGUGCCCUCACUUAGCGUUUAUAACCCAUGCUUCCUCUCCCAAACCCAGACUUGCCUAACUCUGAGGGUUCAGAUGAGGGGUGGUGAAGCCAUCUCAGCUCACAUCUAUGACAGGUACAAAGUGCCCACCAUCCGUCAGGCCCUAGAAUCCCCAUCAGUCACACCCUGAGAUGGUGGCACCCUCUGUAGGAGAGGUGAGGAAACAGGCUGGGAAAAGGGAUGUUUCUUGGCCAAGAUCACAUUUUGGUGAGUAGGUAAUCAUCGUAGGCAAUCAUCGUAGGCACUGAUGGCCGGAGAGAGGUUGGGGACCCCACCUCUGCCCUCAGCUCAACCACCUUGCUGGGAAGACCCGACCAUCCCCCCACUUGGUCCAGCAUCUCCUACACAGGAGCUUUUGGUUGGCCCGGAGUCACGACACUGUGGUGGGAACACCCUCAGGCUCAGCCUGGGCCCCAGUCCCAGCUCUGCCACCGACUGGCUUUGAAACUUUGGGGCUGGGUACAAUGGCUCACACCUGUAAUGCCAGCACCUUGGGAAGUGGAGGCUUGAGGCCAGGAGUUCCAGACCAGCCUGGGCAACAUAGCCAGACCCCAUCUCU